rnacentral:lncRNA from 1 species
CUAUACAGAGUAACACUUUUGGGCUUUGGGUAAUCUCUCAAUGGUUUCUAAAUGGUAAUCUUGCCUGACCAUUGGUUUUUUGAGUUCUUUCAAAGAGUAUUCUUCUUGGCUUGCAGGUUGCCGCUGGAGCCGGACAAGAUAAGGCUUGCCUUACCUGGUGACGUACUGGCUAGGAGAGUGCAAGCUUCCGCCCACACGUACCAGAUGGUCCCAUCAAGGACGUUGUCGUACCGACUGCCGAUGAUCUACAGGUCAGUUUUUCCUUAGCUUCUGUUAUUAGUCUUUUUUUUCCUAUGAAUCGUUCGACUCGUGGUUGCUUCUACAAAAUAGCUCAUCUUUUAGCUUGAAAUGUUACCAUGAAACUUAUCCCCUUUAUUCACUUAAACAAUUUAUGAUGGUGGUUUGGGUACCAAGCUCAGUUGUUUUUUUAUAAAAUGAUUACAUGGUCCAAUAUUUCAGUUAUGUUACAUAUAUUCGUUUUUUAUGUUUUUCUGAACCUUAUACUUCCCUGUAUUUAUUUUUGUUUGGCUAUGAACAACCCAAGAGAUGAAGAUGUUGAAUUUGCUUCAAACUACUACUGUAAAUUUAGAAGCUUCCUAGAUUGCAUCCUAGCUUAGUUGAUCCAGGGCUUAAGCUAUAUACCAAAAUAACACUGAGAUGAGUUCUGUCAGAAGUACGUUGAGCCUUUUUAUUUUUAUUCUGUUUUGCGCACUCAUUUAAUGCCACUUGGAAUCUGAAGUAGAAAAUAUCAUAAAGAGCUUGAUGACUUAUAACAUUACCUGUCACAGUAUAUUAAAGGGUUUUUAGGUGACCAAUUAGGAAAUAAUUAAUUUUGAGUGCUUAAAUAUUGUUACAGUGCGUCAUAUAAGUUACCAAAAAAUUGUAAUUGGGAUAUCAAGGCUUAAAUGGACAAGUCCCAUAAAUAAUAAACUUACCCCUCAUAUACUGGUUGUUGGUAAACCAACCACUAAGAUUUUGAUUCAGUGUUUGCCUAAAGAAAUUACUCCCCCAUUUUGAUUUCAUCAAUUUUUUGAACAGCUCAGGCCAUUUUUGUCGUUGUAUGACAAGGCUGCCGAUGUCAUCACUGAGCCGCCUUCUUUGCUUCAGAGGCUUAUUGUUCUGCUAUAGAUCUCUGUCUCUUAUCCACUCACCCAUUGUACUGCAGGUUUGUGUUCUUGGGUUUUUAUAUCUCGCUUCUUCUUUUUAGUGAGCGGGUGAGCUAAUCUGGUUAUUAUCCUAUUGGCCUGUUGCAGCAAUUGCAACCUCCACAUUUCCAUGGCUGCUCAUCCUCCGUAACUUUCUCUAGCUGAGCUCACGCCACCACUGCGGCACACCUCUCUUAUAGCUAUCGGGUGACCGCGUGUGCCGUUGCCACCACUAGCGAGAUCUGGGAGAAAGAGGAGGCAAAGAGGGAGAUGGAGCAGCAAGAAUAAAGGUAAAGGAAGGAGGAAGAGGAGACACCCUAAGCAUGCCGGUGACCUCCAGGCCCGCUACUACGACUUCUCCAAGCAACACCAAUCUACAGCAGCAAGGUUCACAUUUAAGAAAUUAAUAAUAAUAACGUGAUUAGGAUUUUUUGUGCCAUUACAUAAAUCCCCAAAACCAACUUUUCUCUCUUUAUUUUGGGUAACAAGAUACCCUGUUGUGUUUGGAAGAUGCUUAUUGCUUUGUCUUAGCUUUAGCGUUUGGCAUGAUCGAUGUUGAUGAUGUUUAGUAAUAGACUGGUUGAGAUUUUGUUAUGGUGCUUUGGAUGAUUCCAGCUACCAGCUAAUUAGAUAAUAUUUAUUGUUGGUUUCUUAUUCUAUAAAAGUGACUUAUGCUCUUAAGAUAACCACAAUCCCAUUGUUUGUCAUAUCAUAAUACAACAAACUGCCAUUUUUUUUGCCAUAUUACUAUGCUACUCAAAGAUCAUUGGUAUUUUAUCGUUCUUAUUACUCCGUCAUAGGCUUACAUAUGUUAUUUUCAGUCGUACACCACAUCGAACAUCCAAGUAUUGUGUGGCAGACCCUGUCCUCCUAUGCUCAACCUGAUAUGCUCUUUUAUAGUGUUGAUUGUGUGUGUUAGGAAUAUGCUCUUUUGUUUUGCAAGAAGAAACUUGAUCGAAGCUUUGUGUGAUCAAGUUUAUGUGUUGCUUGCUAUGCAGUGUCUCGAGCAAGAUGACCAAGUGUUGGUGGGUGGGCAUCAACAAGGUGGGUUGUCAGCACGGUGUUCGAGUUGGUCAGUAGUGGUGCACCUGCGCCAUGUAUGGAUCAAUACUCUAGGAGGUUCUGUCGAGGCCCAAUCCAUCCAGGUAGUUUGUUAUACUACUGAUAUGAAUACACAUUAUUUAUCAAGAAUAUUUGUAUACCAUAUUAUCAAGGAAAAUAAUCUGUGUAUGCACUUCUUAUGUUCAUGUGCAGUUCAGAGCCAUUGUCAAAUUGAAUAACAACUGCCUUUUGGUCUCGGCCCAUAACCAGCCGUGAAAGACGAGAUGUUUAUGCUGCCCUUCUACCUUCCUCCCUGUCCCUACUUUUCCCCAUCGCGUGUUGGGCCCUCUGAAGUAAAA